AUUAGAUGUCUUUGGGAAGUCUGUAAUGACACCAUCAAUACCAGCUAAAGUGUAGAAGGAAUUGAUCUCAACAGUUGCAUCAGAUAAGUAGUCCCAUGCUUGAGAUACGAACUCAUUACUGAAGGUUUGAACAUAUACAGAGAGAUUAGCAUUAUGUAGCCUCGGGACAACAUCCGUAACACCAGUGAGGAAUGCUGUAUUUUCAGGAAAGACAGAGUCCUUGCUGAUGACCACAGCGCUAGCAAAUCUCUUAAUGUCGUCAAUUGCUGGACUGUCAGCACCACCAAUAUCUUCAUCAACCUUGUAGACAAGUUUAUAGUUGGUUUUAGUC
rnacentral:lncRNA from 1 species